rnacentral:pre_miRNA from 1 species
GGGAGCACAGGAUCCUGGGCUGUGUCCCCCGGUGCCCUGGGAUCCGAGGCCUGUUCUGGUGGAAUCGUGCUCCUGGGGAUCCGGCUCCU